UAAGAGAUUGUUCAUGAUUUAUUUGAUUUUUUUGUUCAUGAUUUAUUUGAUUUUCUUCAGUUAUUGAAUUGAUUAGGUUUGAGAAUUGAGAGAAAAAAAGGAUCUCGAAUUUGUUUGGAAAUCUUGAUUCCUCUCAAAAACUGAACUACCAAACGGAAUAACCCGAACUAAUUUGGUUUGGUUCGGUUUGACUUUUAAUAAAAUCAGUUUCUGUUUGGUUAUAUAUUUUAAAGAAUUUGGUUAAUUCGGUUUGAUAGGUUCG
rnacentral:misc_RNA from 1 species